AUCCUUUGCCUCAUCUCUACUAAUCUUUCUUCUUAUCUAAUCCUUGAUCUCUGGUCUAUCAUGAAUUCAAACAUGUCUAUCUAUGAAUUUCAUAGACCUAUGGGCACACAUCUCGAACCACCAAAAUCUUCAAAGCCUAUCAUAGCAUCUAGUUUUGAGAUAGACCCCGAAUACAUAGAAUUUGUUCAAAAACAACCUUUCUCAGGAGAAGGUGAGGAAAACCCAUACACAC
rnacentral:lncRNA from 1 species